rnacentral:tRNA from 1 species
UGGCUCAGUGGUUAAGAGCACUGGCUGCUCCUCCAGAGGACCUGGGUUUGAUUCCCAG